rnacentral:rRNA from 1 species
AAUCAACGCUGGCGGCGUGCCUCAGACAUGCAAGUCGAACGAUUAAAGCUCUCUUCGGAGAGUGUAUAGAGUGGCGCACGGGUGAGUAACACGUAAGUAAUCUACCUUUGAGUGGGGAAUAACAGUCGGAAACGGCUGCUAAUACCGCAUAACGCAGCGGCACCGCAAGGUGACAGUUGUUAAAGGAGCAAUCCGCUUAAAGAGGAGCUUGCGGCAGAUAGCUUGUUGGUAAGGUAACGGCUUACCAAGGCUACGAUCUGUAUCCGGUCUAAGAGGACGGUCGGACACACUGACACUGAAUAACGGGUCAGACUCCUACGGGAGGCAGCAGUCGGGAAUUUUGGGCAAUGGGCGAAAGCCUGACCCAGCAACGCCGCGU